GAAAAUCUUCCACGAAGGAUUGAUGAAAACAUCAUUCAGGUCCCACAACAAAGAAAUGAGUAUGACUGCGGUCUGUUUGUUCUUUUCUUUAUGGAGCGUUUCAUUGACGAAGUUCAUAGAAGGCUUAAAAAGAAGGAUUUGACCAUGUUUGGAAGAAGGUGGUUCAAACCUGCAGAAGCCUCUUGUUUGAGGAUGAAAAUCCGCAGAAUACUCGAGGAAAAAUUCAAGAAUGUGAGUGAGAAUGAUUGAUAUUUUUG
rnacentral:misc_RNA from 1 species